CGUGUCCUCGUAGAUAACAACAUAGCAAUCAAUAUUUAACAGUUUUUUUUGCUGUAAUGGGUUGAUGGUUUUUCGUUGCAACUGGUGUUAGACAGUGGAGACCUUAAAUAUCACGUAUAUAUAGCACGUCCUAUCUUGAGACAUGAAGCCAAAAUAUCAACUAUAUUAUAUUAUAAUAUUAACUAUUCUACUCAUCAAAUCGAAAAAUUCCGGUUUCAACGCAAAAGGGCACCACGGAAAUCCUAUUUGCACCGUAAACCACUCAUGCUCUUGACUUUGAAGGAACGUCUACAUAUUAUUACACUAGAAUUGGGAUUUCAAUAUCGUUUCUCAAUGUGUGCGGAACUAUUCACGCUGUGGUUAACGUGGGCCGUGAAUUUCUCUGCAAAACUUACACCAACUAAAAAUAACAACAAAGAAACUUGAAA